UAAUAAUUCUGGUUGGUUUUAAUUAAUUGUCAGUUGAUCCCAUGCCCUUUAUGUACAACAUGCAUGCCUGGUUCCCACUGUUCCUAGCCUGCCCAUCUCCCACCUUUGUCUGAAAGCAAGCAGUGCAAGCAUUCCCACAUUUUCAGCUCACCCAUUCUGAAGUCAUCAGAAGUUUUGGUUCCCAUUAAGAGGUGACAAAAUGUUUUCAAAACCAUUUAACAUCCAAGAGGAGAACAUGAGUUCUUCUGGAAGCCUGGGUCAGCACAAGAGAGGAGAGUGCUAUUCAUUGUAACAGUGGCUAGGGAAUGCACAUGCAGUCUUGGAACAUCCCCAGCUGCUUGCCUGCAGCAGGAUGGACACUUGCCACUGAAGCGUUGCCACCUCCUUGGGGUUACACAAGGCAGGCUUGCACCUGAAACCUGAACUGCAUCUGGCACCGAGAUGGCUGCACGGAGUUGCUCUCCUUUCUCCUGAGGUUGGCUGCAACCAUCGGUUUGCAUGUGGGGAAAAGCAUUCGCUUAACAAGCGAGUUGUCAUCUCUCCAGACACAGGAUAAGAAUGAAUGAACUGAAGAAGAGCCAGGUUAGAGCCUGGGGAACAUUUUCUGAUGCAGGGUGCAUGAGGCAGUAGCCCUGGCUGCCCAGGAAUGCACGUGUGAGAAGAGGUGAGGCACACAUCUGGGCAGGGCAGCACAAGCCACAGGGUCCAGUGGCACUCUUGGGGCUCAGCUUUACUAUUUCUUUGCUGCAGUUUCAGCUUGACACUUAAAGGUUUCAGCAAGGUGCUAUCAUUCCUGGAUCUCAUCCAGUCAUGCGAACAAGCAAGCCUUCACUCAGGAUUAUCAACAAGAAAUUCCUUCCUAGGAUAAAUGAAUGGCUGAUGAUGAUGAACAGAUACAGCCUCCCAUUGUUUUGUG
rnacentral:lncRNA from 1 species